rfam:Trichobilharzia regenti genome assembly, scaffold: TRE_scaffold0004320
AUCCAGAUGAUGAGUCCCAAAUAGGACUGAAUGCGCAUGCUGGAU